ensembl:lncRNA
CUGGAGCCCCCCCAGGGGCUGGACCCCGGCCAGCUGGAGUGGGUCACCAAGGAGCCGGGGGCCACCGUGCUGGCCGGGCUGCUGGUCCGCGUGGACUGAGCGAAAAACGCGGGAAUUCGCCCCAAAAAACGGGGGGGGGUUCCCGGGAAAAACGGUCCUGGAAAAUAGGGGGGAAUUCCUUUGGGAAAUGUGGGGGAAUUCUUCUGAAAAUGGGGGAAUUCAACCCAAAAAUGGGCAAAUUCUUCCUAAAAAAAUUGGGGGAAUUCUUCCAAAAAUGGGGAAAUUAUUCCCAAAAAAUUGGGGGAAUUCAACCCAAAAAUGGGCAAAUUCUUCCCCAAAAAAAUUGGGAGAAUUCUUCUGAAAAUGGGGGAAUUCAACCCAAAAAUGGGCAAAUUCUUCCCCCAAAAAAUUGGGAGAAUUCUUCUGAAAAUGGGCAAAUUCUUCCCAAAAAAUUGGGGGAAUUCUUCCAAAAAUGGGGGAAUUCAACCCAAAAAUGGGCAAAUUCUUCCCCCCAAAAAAUUGGAGGAAUUCUUCCAAAAAUGGGGGAAUUCAACCCAAAAAUGGGCAAAUUCUUCCCCAAAAAAAUUGGGGGAAUUCUUCCGAAAAUGGGGGAAUUCCACCCAAAAAUGGGCAAAUUCUUCCCCAAAAAUAUUGGGGGAAUUCUUCCAAAAAUGGGCAAAUUCUUCCCAAAAAAAUUGGGGGAAUUCUUCCAAAAAUGGGGGAAUUCCACCCAAAAAUGGGCAAAUUAUUCCCCAAAAAAAUUGGGGGAAUUCUUCUGAAAAUGGGCAAAUUCUUCCCCCAAAAAAUUGGGGGAAUUCUUCUGAAAAUGGGGGAAUUCUUCCAAAAAUGGGCAAAUUCUUCCCAAAAAAAUUGGGGGAAUUCUUCCAAAAAUGGGGGAAUUCAACCCAAAAAUGGGCAAAUUCUUCCCCCAAAAAAUUGGGAGAAUUCUUCUGAAAAUGGGGGAAUUAUUCCCAAAAAAACUGGGGGAAUUCUUCUCAAAAAUUUGGGGGAAUUUCUUGGAAAAUGGGGGAAUUCAUCUUAAAAAAUAUGGGGAAAUUCUUUCAAAAAAUAUGGGAGAAUUCUUCCGAAAAUGGGGGAAUUCCUUCAAAAAAAUUGGGGGAAUUCUUCCCAAAAAUGUGGGGGAAUUCUUUCAAAAAAUUGGGGGGAAUUUCUCUGAAAAUGGGAGAAUUCUUCCCAAAAAUGUGGGGGAAUUCCUUCAAAAAAUAGGGGAGAAUUUUGCAGAAAAUGGGAGAAUUCUUCCCAAAAAUGUGGGGGAAUUUCUCUGAAAAUGAGAGGAUUAUUCCCAAAAAUUUGGGAGAAUUCCUCCAAAAAAUAUGAGGAGAUUCCCUGAAAAAACUGGGAAUUCUUCCCAAAAAAAAAUAGGGGAAAUUCUUCCAAAAAAAUAUCGGAGAAUUCUUUCAAAAAUGGGGAAAUUCUUCCCAAAAAUCGGGAGGAAUUUCCUGAAGAAAUGGGGGAAUUCUUCCCAAAAAAAUGGGGAAUUUUUUUCCCAAAAAUACGGGGGAAUUUCUCUGAAAAUGUGGAAAAUUCUUGGCAAAAAUUUGGGGGAAUUCCCUGAAAAAAAUUGGGGGAAUUCUUCCCAAAAAAAUUGGAGGAAUUCCUUCCAAAAAUAUGGGAGAUUUCUUCCCAAAAUUGGGGGAAUUCCCUGGAAAAAAAAAAAAAUGGGGGAAUUUCUCCCGAAAUAAAAAUUGGGGGAAAUCUCCUCCCCA